UUACCCAUAAGGCAUUGACAUGUUCCCAAUUUAAUUCAUCACAUACCACUUGCUUAAUAUUUGGCUUUAACUCAUAGUUGACAUACAAACAUACCCCUCCACCUUUCCUAUUUUUUCAAUCCAUCCUAAAUAAAGUGUAACCAAUUAAGUUAACUGCCCAGUUAACUUUUUUAAUCUGUCACAUAUAUUCUGCAAUGUGGGUUUUUAGUGUUCCAGUGGUUCUACCUUCACAUGGG